rnacentral:lncRNA from 1 species
AGUGUAUCUAACUUUUACCACUAUCUUUGCAUUUUUUGUUGAUUGCCCGAUUCGUUUGCCUUGUUAUUUUCUUCACCAAUCUCCAUAAAUUAUCUGAUGAAAAUACAUGACGACAUUGAUCUUUUUUGAGGAGGAGGAAUAAUUAUCCUCGAAAAAAUUCAAUGAACGUCAAUCUAAAAAUGAAAGAAUUCAUGUGAAUGGCGAAAAAAAGGUAGAAAUGAACUUGGGAUAUGAUUCUCUAGAAUCUAGAUGACUUCUUUCAUUUGAUAUAGAGUACUUUAUUUUAUCUGAUUGUAAUAAGAAACUCA